rnacentral:rRNA from 1 species
GACGGAGGGUGCUAGCGUUGUUCGGAAUCACUGGGCGUAAAGGGCGCGUAGGCGGCUUUGGCCGUCGGCUGGUGAAAGCCCGGGGCUCAACCCCGGAGGUGCGGCCGAGACCCCAAAGCUGGAGGCCGGAAGAGGAGGGUGGAAUACCCAGUGUAGAGGUGAAAUUCGUAGAUAUUGGGUGGAACACCGGUGGCGAAAGCGGCUCUCUGGUCCGGACCUGACGCUGAGGCGAGAAAGCGUGGGGAGCAAACAGG